rnacentral:lncRNA from 1 species
UUUAUCUCUUCCUCCUUUCUUCAGUUAAGGUUUCAACACCCAUCAUCGCCGGCGGUUCACCGUGCCGAACGGAGAGGGGAGCUGCCACGGGGUAGAUCCGGUAAGACUCUUUUCUUCCUUGAUUCUUUUUCGUUUUAAAGUAAGUUAAUGAAAAAAAAAAUAAAACAAAGCAAAGAUAAACAGAAAGAUUGAGAUAACAGAGGAAAAAAAAUUGAAGUUUCACCUUCUAAGCUUUUCUUUUUUCUUUUGUUUUUGAUACAAACUUUUUGUACAUCCUCCCCCCUUUUCGUUUGUUGUUUGGGUGGCUUUUAUAUGGCCUAAUUUUUACAUACUUUAUUAUUAUUUUCUAUUCUUGCUUCUGUUUUGCUUGUUUUCAGGGCAUGGGCAUGGACGGUGGGGUGUGUGAUGGUGCUGGUGGCAGACAGCAUGGGAGAGUGGGAGUGGUGCUGGUGGCAGACAGCAUGGGAGAGUGGGAAGAGGCAAGUGGGAGUUUAGGGUUUUGGGAUUGGGCUUGGAUGUUGGGCUAGGUUAAUUUUAGGUUUUGGGUUUGAGGAUGGGUUAAAUGGUUUAAUGGGCCUGGGUAUUUUGUAAACGGGCCAAAAUUGGCCUACAACAGU